UACGUAGGUGGCGAGCGUUAUCCGGAAUCAUUGGGCGUAAAGAGGGAGCAGGCGGCAAUAGAGGUCUGCGGUGAAAGCCUGAAGCUAAACUUCAGUAAGCCGUGGAAACCAAAUAGCUAGAGUGCAGUAGAGGAUCGUGGAAUUCCAUGUGUAGCGGUGAAAUGCGUAGAUAUAUGGAGGAACACCAGUGGCGAAGGCGACGAUCUGGGCUGCAACUGACGCUCAGUCCCGAAAGCGUGGGGAGCAAAUAGG
rnacentral:rRNA from 1 species